AUGCCGUUCUCAAGUUCGGCUUCCCUCCAAUCCUUCGCGCCACAAGAUGACGGAGCACACCAGGAAAUUCCGAUCGAAGAUGCGGCAGCGGCCUCACCGCCGAUGACGGACGCCGCUGCGGUCGGCGUGGACACGGCGGACGACGUCGACGGCCGGAGGCUCAGGCGGAAGAUCUCCAACCGGGAGUCGGCGCGCCGGUCGCGCGCGCGCAAGCAGCGCCGCCUCGAGGACCUCCGCGCCCUCGCGGCAAGCCUGCGGGGCGGCCGCCGCGAGCUCGUGGCGCGUGUGCACGCCGCGCGGUGCCGCGUCGCCAUCGUCCUCCACGCCAACGACGAGCUCCGGGCCGAGGCCGCCGCCCUGAGCCGCCGCCUCGAGGUGGCGGCUCAUGGCGCGCUCGCCCUCAACCAGCUGUACGCCGCGGCCGCCGGGCUUGGUGUCGGGACGUUCGAGCAGGCCGCUGCCUCGCUGAUCGUGUGGAGCUGA
rnacentral:rRNA from 1 species